AUGGGUGCCCAGUCGAUCCUGGAGACACACCUACCUGGGAACCCUUCAGCUGCUCCUGUGCCUCUGGUGUGGGGAGGGUGGGUAAGACCCAAGCUGCUCUGCUCACAUUGUAUCUGUUCAGGACCCAACCCUGCUCCUCGCCAUCACCAUCAUUGGCGUGACGGUGCUCAUGUUGGCCUUGAGGAACAAGAACUCAAGAAAAAAGCUUAUCACUUUACAGAACCCUGAAACCAAGUACCCUCUGCCCUUAAUUGAAAAAGAGCAAAUCAACCAUAACACCAGGAAGUUUCGCUUUGGACUGCCCUCAACAGACCAUGUCUUGGGCCUCCCAAUAGGUAACUAUGUCCAUCUCAUAGCCAAAAUUGAUGACGAUUUAGUGAUCAGGGCUUAUACCCCUGUCUCCUGUGAUGACGACCAAGGCUUCGUGGACUUAAUUAUAAAGAUCUACUUCAAAAAUGUACACCCCAACUAUCCUGAAGGGGGGAAGAUGACUCAAUACUUGGAAAACAUGAAAAUAGGGGACACCAUCCUUUUUCGAGGGCCAUCUGGACGCCUGUUCUACCAUGGUCCAGGAAAUCUUGAAGUCAGAACAGACAACACAAGUCAGCCUGAAAAAAAACUGGUCCUUCACCUGGGAAUGAUUGCUGGGGGGACAGGGAUCACACCCAUGCUGCAGCUCAUACGCCACAUCACCAGGAACCCCAGGGACACGACCAAGAUGUCCCUCAUCUUUGCCAACCAGACAGAGGAGGAUAUCUUGGUGAGACAGGAGCUUGAAGAAACAGCCAGAACUCAUCCAAGUCAAUUUAAGCUGUGGUACACCUUGGACAGGCCUCCCACCGGCUGGAUAUAUGACUCGGGCUUCAUUACUGCCAACAUGAUCAAGGAGCACCUCCCUCCUCCUGGGGGGUCCACACUUAUCCUGGUGUGUGGCCCACCCACCAUGAUCCAGAAUGCCAUUCACCCUAACCUAGAGAAACUGGAUUACACUAAGGACAUGAUUUUCACCUACUAA